rnacentral:misc_RNA from 1 species
AUUAUCGCCCAUAUCGUGUUUGGACAACAUCGUUGAGAAUCCCAGAUCGCGAUUCGAUUUUACAAAAACUCUCAAAUUUUGAUAAAUAUUUCUGAACUCCUUAAAUAUGAGCUCCAUCGGAACCGGUUACGACUUAUCGGCGUCUCAAUUCUCACCCGAUGGUCGUGUAUUUCAAGUGGAGUACGCACAGAAGGCUGUAGAAAAUAGUGGAACAGCGGUAGCUUUGAAAGCAAAGGACGGCGUUGUGUUUGCUGUUGAAAAACUUGUUGUUUCCAAACUCUAUGAAUCAACUUCAAAUCAGAGAAUUUUCUCAAUUGAUUCGCACGUAGGAAUUGCUGUAGCAGGACUAUUGGCAGAUGCUAGACACUUGGUUGAAACUGCUAGAGAUGAAGCAGCAAACUACCGAGCAAACUAUUCUGUACCAAUUCCUAUUCCCUACCUAGCAGAUAGAUUGGCCAUGUAUAUGCAUGCCUAUACCUUAUACAGCUCAGUUCGACCUUUUGGUUGUGGUGUUCUUCUCGGCGGUGUUGGCCAAGAUGGUCCAGAGCUAUAUUGUAUUGAUCCUUCCGGCGUAUACAACGGAUAUUGGGGAGCUGCAAUCGGAAAAGCCAAGCAAAACGCAAAAACUGAAAUGGAAAAAUUGAAAGUAAAAGAUAUGACCAUGAAGGAAUUGAUAAAGGAAGUUGCUAAAAUUAUAUAUAUUGUACACGACGAGGUAAAAGAUAAAAAUUUUGAACUGGAACUAUCUUGGGUUGGAGCUGAGUCGAAUGAUAAACACCAACGUGUCCCAAGCAUUGUCUUCACUGAAUCCGAAAAAUAUGCUAAGGAAGCCAUUCAAGAAUCAGACGCCUCAGAUGAUGAAGAUUUAUAGUUUGUAUAUACUUUUUACCGUCGACGUUAAAUAAAAUAUUAUUACAAGAACAACAGUUUUUUUGUUCCAAAUACAUGCAAGAAACGUUGUAAUUUUGUUUUCUAUGCGUCUCUUAUCGUAAAAAAAAAUGAAUGUAGGUGGCGAUGAAGUAAGAUCGCGAAAGGAGUUACUACAUCAUUUAGCUGUUAACUGUGCAACCGUUAACGAAAUAAAACUUGUAAUGUGACGUCGAUAUUUUGAUUAAAUCAGAUCUGCUCUAUUCCCGAUAAUUAAACGUCUAGUCGAUAAGUCUAUAAAGUUUAACAGCAGGAAGACGUAUUAUCUGUAAAUUAGCGAAACUUAAGACAGCCUCGCCUUUGGCACCUGGUGUUCGGGAUUACCUCUAUUGAUCAUUACGCAACAUGGCCCUGUCAGCUGACGAAAACCACAGCGUCUAUGCGUAUUCACUAGUUGGUCUUUUGCCAGUAUCUCUUCUAGUUCAGUUGACUAGUUUAAGCGCACCUUAUUGGUGGCGAAAGCAUUCCGGAUAUGGCGGCCUAUGGAGAAUUUGUCAAGGCAAUCAACGAAUUGUAUGUACUUCGAUUUUCGAGGAUACCAACUUCGGUAAGUUUGCCAAAAAAAUGUUACAGAUAGCGCGCCUGUUAAAUAAUCGACAUAGCGAAUUGAGAUGAGAGAACAUCUGCAUUCUGUUUUUUUCCGUUUUUCGUUAGCCCCCAUUCCUUGCUUGCCUCUCCGUGCAAAAGUUCUAGACUUGAAGAUAAGAUGCAAGAAACGAGCGCGAAUAGCUAAGACUUGAAAUAUCUGUCUCCCUCCGAGACCACAACUUAGAAUACUAAUUAGGUUUACCCACAGAUGUUAUACGCCUGAGAGGAGACUAAUCGAAUUAGUAAUAUAAACACUAAUCGAAGAUUUUCUUGCUCUACGAGAAAAAAGAACGAUAGACACAGGUGCGAUUAUCUUUAAGGAAACAGCUUAUUCACCCAAUAUUCACUAAUUAUACAAGUUUACCUAUUCAAUAUUCUUAGAAUAUUUAUGGAAUGGAAGGGACAUUCCUUUCUUUGGCGGUGCGGAAGAGAGAUAUCGCAUAGCCUUCGAGUUUAUUAUUAUUACAGUCCGACCUUGCACUUUCUUCAUGCAACUCAAGGGAAUCGUUGAAAAGUACAAUAAAGCGAUUAGAAGAAUUUAUGUAAAUUACAUGUAAAAUCCUAAGAGAGAUACUAAAACGCAUUAAGUACAACCAUCGGUUUACGACGCAUUUGUUCCGCAUCGCUUAUUCUUCGCUUCGAUUAGCCAAUGAUUAAUGAUUGAAUUUUUUUUAAGGCUUUUUACUAGUUGGGGAAUUGACUCUAACCGUCGCAACAACUUUAAUGGCUGCCAGUGAGUUUGUUUUACUAUUCUACCUCUGCGUACCCGGCUUCGAAAGGGAUGUUAGGUGCAAGGUACUACUCUGCAUUCUGUCAUUCUUAUCCGCUCUGCUAGUUUGUACGGGUGUCGUAUCGUUCUCAGUUUGGUCGAGCACAAAAACAGAUCUUCAGUUAUGGUGGGCGUAUGCUUUGGCCGUUGCCGCCUGUAUCCUAACAUCAGCAGUAUGCGGUUUAGCUAUGUUUGAUUUAAGAAAACUGUAUUCUCUCAUUUAUCAUAGUUCUCGUAAUAGUCCUGUUGACUUAUAAAAAUAACGAGAAUCAAAAAAGACAAUAGUAGCUAAUUUAAUAAUAAAACCAAAAUAAACGAAUACUUGUAUUUGAUAGUCCAGGUUUAAAUGAGUUGGUAAUGCUUUAACCUUUCCAAGAAGUAUGAAUGUCAUACUUUACCUAACGCAUUAUACUAAAUGAAAGGGCAGGCAAAAGAUUCUAUUAGUCUACGAUGUAAAUAAUAUGCUUUCAAAUGCUCUUGUCUUUUAUUUCUUUGAAUUUUCUCUUUUUUUAUAGUUAUUAGAAAUACCUCUUUUUUAAAUAAUAAACAAGGG